rnacentral:rRNA from 1 species
CACCAGNGGCGAAAGCGGCUCUCUGGUCUGUCACUGACGCUGAGGCUCGAAAGCGUGGGUAGCGAACAGGAUUAGAUACCCUGGUAGUCCACGCCGUAAACGAUGAGUGCUAGGUGUUAGGCCCUUUCCGGGGCUUAGUGCCGGAGCUAACGCAAUAAGCACUCCGCCUGGGGAGUACGACCGCAAGGUUGAGACUCAAAGGAAUUGACGGGGGCCCGCACAAGCGGUGGAGCAUGUGGUUUAAUUCGAAACAACGCGAAGAACCUUACCAGGUCUUGACAUCCCGAUGCUAUUCUUAGAGAUAGGAAGUUACUUCGGUACAUCGGAGACAGGUGGUGCAUGGUUGUCGUCAGCUCGUGUCGUGAGAUGUUGGGUUAAGNNNNNNANCGAGCGCAACCCUUAUUGUUAGUUGCCAUCAUUAAGUUGGGCACUCUAGCGAGACUGCCGGUAAUAAACCGGAGGAAGGUGGGGAUGACGUCAAAUCAUCAUGCCCCUUAUGACCUGGGCUACACACGUGCUACAAUGGUCGGUACAACGAGUUGCGAGCCGGUGACGGCAAGCUAAUCUCUGAAAGCCGAUCUCAGUUCGGAUUGGAGGCUGCAACUC